UACGUAGGGUGCGAGCGUUGUCCGGAAUUAUUGGGCGUAAAGAGCUUGUAGGCGGUUUGUCGCGUCUGCUGUGAAAAUCCGAGGCUCAACCUCGGACUUGCAGUGGGUACGGGCAGACUAGAGUGUGGUAGGGGAGACUGGAAUUCCUGGUGUAGCGGUGAAAUGCGCAGAUAUCAGGAGGAACACCGGUGGCGAAGGCGGGUCUCUGGGCAACAACUGACGCUGAGGAGCGAAAGCGUGGGGAGCGAACAGG
rnacentral:rRNA from 1 species